rnacentral:rRNA from 1 species
GACGAACGCUGGCGGCGUGCUUAACACAUGCAAGUCGAACGGAAAGGCCCUGCUUUUGUGGGGUGCUCGAGUGGCGAACGGGUGAGUAACACGUGAGUAACCUGCCCUUGACUUUGGGAUAACUUCAGGAAACUGGGGCUAAUACCGGAUAGGAGCUCCUGCUGCGUGGUGGGGGUUGGAAAGUUUCGGCGGUUGGGGAUGGACUCGCGGGUUAUCAGCUUGUUGGUGGGGUAGUGGCUUACCAAGGCUUUGACGGAUAGCCGGCCUGGGAGGGUGACCGGCCACAUGGGGACUACGAGACGGCCCAGACUCCUACGGGAGGCAGCAGUGGGGAAUAUUACACAAUGGGCGCAAGCCUGAUGCAGCAACGCCGCGUGCGGGAUGACGGCCUUCGGGUUGUAAACCGCUUUCGCCUGUGACGAAGCGUUAGUGACGGUAAUGGGUAAAGAAGCACCGGCUAACUACGUG